CUUAGGAAACAGACGCUCUAUCCACUGAGCUACAUGCGCUUUCUUCUUAUGGUCUCCACUUAAUUGUCACAUUUUAAGUAAAUACUUUGUAUGAUAUUUUAAUGCAUUUCUUACGUAUUGAAUUUUAGCCAUGUAAUUCUCUAAGGGAUCAUAUUAGUCUAGUGUUUACUUAAGUACAUGUAGGUGUAUGAAGUGGUUUAAACAAAAGAAACUUACAAAAUUUGACGUAUAAUCCUAAAAACAUAUACAUAUACAUAU
rnacentral:sRNA from 1 species